rnacentral:rRNA from 1 species
AUGGAGGCCGCCGCCGACGACCUCCUCGCGGCCCUCUCCUCCCCGAGCUCCCGCGCCGGCCUCCACUCCCGCUUCGCCGCCUACCUCCAGCCCUUCUCCCCCCACCUGCCCGCCGCCAACCCUAACCCCAAGCCGCCGCCGAAGAGGGCGACGAAGCAGGGCAAGCAGCAGCAGCCGCCCCCCGACGCGGCCGCCCUCCGCUCCCUCGCGAAGCGGUUCCUCCCGUUCCUCUGCCGCGCGCUCCAGCUCCUCCCGCCGCUCCUCCUCCCGAACCCUAGCGCGGGCGGCGACGCGGCGGGCCUCGACGAGCUGCUCGAGAUCUACGGCCUCACCCUCGACUGCCUGGCGGCCAUCUCGACCUGCCUCGCCGGGAAGCCCUACUCCGUGCUGCUCCAGCGCGGCCGCUUCGUGUGCUGCCUCGAGUCGCGCGGCCGCUACGCCCGCGCCGAGGCGGAGGCUGCCGCCACUCUCGACGCCCUCCGCUGCGCGCUCUCGCCACUGACGGCCGCAAAGCCUUCUCGUGGCGCUGCAAUUGUUGCUCCCCUCCUCCCCGAGCCUGGCAUUGCAGGAGAGGCUGGCGCGGACCCUGAAGUCACCAUCCUUGCGGUUGAGCUCACCGUAUGCCUUGCUAAUUGUGCCAGCAAGGGCAAGGUGAAGGAAGAUGCCUGCUACGAACGUGUUCGUAACCUUGUUGAGCAGCUCCGGCCAUGGCUCCGGAUUCUGACUGAGGGGGCCAGCAAGAAGUAUCUCACUCUGCUUGUGAAUGCACUGAGCCGCUGUGCCAUUUUCCUGGCUGCCGAGUCUUCAUUUUUCGACGCUGAUCUUGUCCGUGAAUUCUGUGUUGCAACCUUAGGGGAGUGUGAGAAGGCACAGCUGAUUGAACGCUUGCCCAUCGUUGCACGCAAGAUCUGUUCUUCUGUGGAUUUGAGUUGGGGUGAGAGCACAUCGCUUUUGCUUGCCGUGCUUGAGUCUGUUUUACGUGUCAAGGCCUACUUACCUAAAGCUUUGAACGAGUUCCUAGAGUUUAUAGAUUAUUUUUCUCGGAGUUUUCUUUCAAAUAGGGAUGUAAAUGCUGGUGCUUCAAAACUAUUUUAUGGACAAGGUGGUUUUUCUUCUGAGAUUUCCCCGCCCAUCGCCUCAGUUCUUCAUCUUUAUGCUACUGGAUUACACUUCAGUAGACAGCAAAUGGAAAGCGAAGAUCAGCCCUCUAUGUCAGUGGAUUUUCUCAAGAAUGAAAAGAACCUACAAACUUUGAACAAUGCACUGGGCACACUAGAACGGAUUUUCUGUGCCACUGAUGGCAAAUCCAGUAAACAUGAUAAUUUGGGUAAAUAUUCAAGUACACUAACUGAUGCCAGGCAUCCCAAUAAGAAAGACAGUUAUAGUUGUUCUCAGUCACGUGAGCAUAUUAAUUUUUUGGCAUAUUUGGAUUCUUUGGAGUUUGUUUGCAAGAUACUAUUGCAGCCUGCAAAUGCAGUUUGGGAGAGCUUCUUCAAAGAAAAAACAGUCCCCACUUCGGGGAAAAUGACAUGUGUCUUAAUGGCACUGAAUCAGUUUAUUGAUUCCAGCCUUUUUGCUUAUAGUUAUACCAAAAUGUCUGACGAAGAGAAGGAGAGAUUAAAUAAAACCUUACUGAGGGCCCUAGUGUCAGCAAUCAAAAUUUCCUUUGUGACCAAAGAGGCUAUCCAGAAGAGCUUGUAUUCUAUCAAUUGUGCCAUUUCAAGUACAUGGAUAAAGCUUGAGGAUUUCAAAUAUUUGAUCCCUUCAAUUGGUAACAUCGGCGUGACACUUUAUAAUAUUGGACAUUUUGAAGAGGCACCAAAGGCAUUAGAACUAUGCUGCCAAGCAACAUGGGCACAGAUCAGACUUUCUUACUGUAGACUAUCAACAAGAACGGAAGGUCACAUCAUAAUUGAGGAUCUACCGAAGGAUACACUGAAGGAUAUCAUUACAGAUGCAUUUGCUAGGAUAGAUAAGAUGGUCAACACUCUCCAUAGAUGUGGCUCAAAAGUGAUACGAGAUAUUGUUGUGAAGAGCUUUUCUGAAUUGUUGGCCCAUGGUGACACAUCAGAUUAUCACAAAAGCUAUUCGGUUCUGAUCGAGUCGUGGGUGAAGAUAACACUUAAGGAUUUUGCGAAUGACCAAAAUAUGGAUAGUGCCCCACUUCUAUAUCACUCUCUAAUGGGCUACCCAUCUCCCUUGCCAAAGAAGUUGAUAGGCUCAAUCUUAGAGCAGGAAUUAUUAAAAUAUGGAGAAAUGGAAUCUCGUGCCACCAUGCUCUGCGGAAAUAUGCAAAUAAGAAUAAUAGAUAUUCUAUUGAAUGAACUUUAUUGUUCAAAAGAGUACUAUCUGGACAGAUCAAAAGUUUUAGUUAGAAAGGCACAUGCACUCCGUUCAUCUGGGGUGCAAAACAUAAGCAGGUGUCUUGAGUCCUUAUCUGAAGCCAUAUCUUUACUGCGAAGCAUCUUACUGGAUUCAUCUCGAGGGAAUGCGAUUGUGAUGCAUGAAUUAGCUAUUGCUUACUGCUUGCAUGCACAUUGUGCGCAGGAAGCCAAUCGUGGCGGCAAGGUAAUCUUUGAUGAUGCUAGGAGUGCCGUUGGCUUGUGGUCAAAGAUGGGUACUUCUCAGCAUUCUUCUCCUGGUGUGAUCUUUCAACAGCCAUCAGAAACUCUUGUACCACUUCUUUGUUCUCUUGUUGAUUUGUUGGCCAUGAAGGGUCACUUUGAGCUUCAGUUUGAGCUGUGCAAGCUUAUCAUAAUGAUGUGGAAGCAAGAAAAUUUACCCAUAGAAAAGUUAUUAUCCAUGUUAUUUAUCAACCGGCGCCUUAAUCAUGCGUGCUGUCAUCUCCCAGUGGACCAGAAUUUUUUUUCUUAUGUGGCAGAACACCUUGGUGUUGAUUGCCGCAAUACAUUGUUUUGGAGAAACUGUUUCAAAGGAGAUUAUCCUUCUCUUUCUAUGUUUCUUCAGCAGUUGUGGCCUGUUGAAUUCUUUUCUCAACCGUGUGAAUAUUCCCUUGGAAAUCAGUUUGGUUUCAAUGCUAAUGUUGAUGGGAUUGUUAAAGUUGCAUCAUCUCUGGUUUCUGAAGUUCCUUUGAAUAAUCAAUCAGCCUAUCUGGCUGGCUGGCUGUAUUAUGAUUCGUCAGAAAGACUUCUGUCAAGAGGACAACUUCUCCAGGCCAUUUCAUAUGGAAGAGAAGCCCUCCAAUUGCGCAAGAAGCUCCUAAAAAAGAAGUUCAAAUUUAAUUUGGGCAAGUUUGUAAUCAAGGAAAGCGAAUGUUCUGGUGGGCAAGGCUUUGUUUCACUUGAAGCAUGGGGACCAACAAUGGCUGAAAUUUGGCCAGAUUGCACCAGGCCAAGCAGCAUGAGAGAUUCUUUCCUUACCCCAUGGAAUGUACUUAAAUGUUACCUUGAAAGCAUAUUACAGGUUGCUCUGAUGCAUGAGUUGAUUGGUGAUGGCACCGAAGCAGAAGUUCUAUUACGGACAGGAAAGGAGAUAUCAUGUUUCCAAGGAUUGCCAAUUUUUGCUGUUGUUUUUACAUCAGCGUUAGGUCAACUAUACUGCAAGAGACAGCUGUGGGAUGCUGCAGAGGGUGAGCUUAAACAUGCUAGGGAUCUCCUUAAAGAAAAUUGUGAAUUCAUUUCAUGUGAGACAUGCAGGUUGACUCAAGAGAUAUCAGUUGAUGUGCAAGCUGGGGAUCUGUUUUGGAAUCAAUUUGACAAAGAUUUGCAAAAACAUUCAACAUGCAAUUUGUCUCGUGCUUUAGGCAUGUACCGAUCUGCCAUGGAGAAAUUGAAUGACACCAGUUUGGAAUUUUCUGCUGGGUCCUGUUGUAAACUUAAUACUAGUUGCAUUUUGGGCAACAAAGACUGUAUUGCAGAAACCAAGCGUGGAGCUUGUAAUCGUGGGAAAAAACCCUUAGCAGCCAAGGAUGGAGUGUUACCUCCAUGUACUCCUUGUUUGUUGUUCAGUCAAGCACCUAUUGACCAGUACAAUGAACUUGUGGGAUUAAAAUCUGAAAGGAAAAACUUGAAGAAUGCCGAAAGUGCCCCACCAUUGGAUGUUAACGUUAAGACAUCCAAAACUUCAUCACGUUUAGCCAAAGAACAGAAUGCGGCAGCUCAUUCAAAGACUAGAACCACCCGAUCCAGCAAGCGAACUGCACAUGUGAAAAGUGAAAAAGAUCUAGCUGAACUGAAUAGUGAGAAUGACAUAUCUGGGAGCGACAAAUUGUCCACAGAUGCUUUAGUCUGUGGGAAGCUAAGCUGCUCCCUUGAUGGUGUUUACUGCAGCAGAGAUGACAUAUGCAAUAUGUUUGGGUGUUGGAAUUGCCUUUUUGUUAAUUCACUCAAUUCUGAGUCCAUUGAGAAUAUAUUGCAGUUCAGAAAAGACUGCAUCCGCCGACGCCAUCUUGUGUCUCUUCUGUUAAAAACAGCAAGAGCCUUGGGAGCUCAGGGUGGAAAGCAUGGAGCUCAUGAAGUUCAUAGUAUCUACUGGCAGUGUAUAUCAUUGUUGUAUUUCAGAUCUCUUCCUCAAGGUUGUUAUAGAACCUAUGAGCCUCAUUUAAUUGGACUAAUCAUGAAUGAAAAUACUGGUGAUUUUCUUUCUUUAGAGCGUGCGGAAAUACUAUGUAGUAUGAGUUUCUUUUUGUUGAAGGGUUUCCUUUCAGAACAGUCAAGGGAUAGUUGCUGCAGCUUCUCUAGUGUACAAACGGCUGAUAUCGUUUCUUGGUUGCUGAAAGCUUUUGUGUUAUCUGGAGAGAGUCCUUCACUUCUUCAGGAGGUUUGCAGGCUACUCACAUGCAUAUUCUUACUCUCAACGAUAGAUUCCACGGUUCAAUUACCUUUGUAUUCCAAGGGAUCUCUCUCUUUGAAUCAUUGGGCUGCUUACUUUCAUCAAGCUUCUGUUGGAACUCAUCUCAAUUGCCAUUACCUUGCAAGCUUACAGGCAUUGCCCAGAAAAACAGAUUCGAAGGGUCUUGUUGGAGAUUUCGCAAACAAGAUAGAUGAGGUCCCAAAGUUUCUAAGGUUUUCAUCGGCAGACAUGGAACAUCUCGAAAAGCAUGUAUCAGAAUUCUUCAAUCAACUUCCUGAUGUACCAAUUGUGUGCAUUAGUAUGCUUGGAGGUGAUUUUGUGAAUGUUCUUGGGGAAGCACUUCUUCUCCCUUCCCUGUUUCCUGCUUGGAUGUUGCUCUCAAGGUUUGAUUCAACAAACAAGCCUACCACAAUGCUUCUACCAGUGGAUUCUAUUUCAAAAGAAGCACAUAAUGAAGACUCUUCUAUCAAAGAACUGGAUAAUCCAACUAGAGCUUCAGAUAAGAAUUGGAAGUGCCCUUGGAGCUGCACUAUUAUAGAUUAUGUGGCUCCAACUUUCAGAAAGCUACUUGAGGAUAACUUUAGAUCCCUCUCUGGUGCAAUUGAUAUUCCAAAGGAUGGACAAGCAAAUGCAGUAAGGUGGUGGUCGGAUAGAAUGAAGCUCAACAACGACCUUAAUGAGAUACUGGAAAACAUGGAAAAAUUGUGGCUAGGACCCUGGAAAUAUCUUCUGCUGGGGCACCAAUCAGCUGACCAACACAGUGAGGCAGUGCUGGAAAAUCUAAUCACUGGUCUAGAAUCAGAAUUCAAACUUGAAGCAAAUCCGGCGCUCAUCAAGGUCAUCCUUGGUGGGGUUGCAUCAGUGGAUGAACUGAAAGAAUGUGUUUCUCAGCUUGUAUCAUAUAAAGCUUACUUUGGCAGGGGAGGGUGUUGUGGAAGAGAUAGACUUAGAGCCUUCUCUUGCCAGAUUGAUGCUGAAGCUCUGGUGUCCCUUGAGCAUUUAUGCAAUGGUGUAGUGAAUGAGCUGGCCGAGCCAGUUGAGAGAACUCCAGUGAUUUUAGUUCUGGAUACUGAUGUGCAGAUGCUUCCUUGGGAGAACUUGCCUGUCUUAAGGAAUCAGGAAAUGUACCGCAUGCCGUCAGUGAGAAGCAUCUUUCUAGCAUUGACUAGAAGCACUAAUCAUCAGAAAGAUGCCAGUGUCAUAGACCCUCCUUUUCCUGUUAUUGACCCUUUCAAUGCAUUCUAUCUGUUGAAUCCUGGUGGUGAUUUGAUCAGCACACAAGAGGAAUUUGAUCAGUUGUUUAGAAACUACGAGUGGAAGGGAAAUGCUGGGGAUGCUCCAACAGCUGAAGAGCUUGUCUUGGCCCUGAGGAAUCAUGAUCUUUUUCUCUACUUUGGACAUGGAAGUGGAAGCCAGUAUGUCUCUGGAAAGGAAAUCGAGAAGUUAGAUAAUUGUGCAGCUGCUCUCCUCAUGGGUUGCAGUAGUGGGACACUUCAUUGCAAAGGAGCGUAUGCUCCUCAAGGGGCCCCUUUGUCUUAUUUAUUUGCUGGUUCUCCGUCCGUCAUUGCAAAUCUCUGGGACGUCUCGGAUAAAGAUAUAGAUCGAUUUAGUAAAGCACUGCUCAAUUCAUGGCUGCAAGAAAAUGUCACGGCUGCCAAGAAUUGCUCUAAGUGUUGCCCUCUGACCCAAGAAUUUGAGUCCAUGACCAUCGCCGCGAAGGACAAUGUUAGGUCAAGACGAAAAGGCUCACGAGCUAGGAAGCAACAACAGACAGUAGAGAUGGGCGGCAGUAGUAGUUGCUGUAACUGCGGGCACAGGCGAAUAGCUUCACAUAUAAGUGAAGCUAGGCGUGCUUGCAGGCUUCCUCUUAUGAUCGGUGCAUCUCCUGUUUGUUAUGGUGUGCCUACUAUCAUCAGGAAGAAGUAA